rnacentral:misc_RNA from 1 species
UGUCAAUGCAGUCAUUUCUCGUAAAACGGCACAGUUGACGGUUUUGUUGAGCGCAAACUAAAUAAUUCUUAUUGUAGAAAUUAUUUGGUGUUGGAAACGACUCAAUCGUUCAUAUAAGUCACAAAAUAUUUACAAUAAAUUGAAAACACCAUUUGUGAAUAUCGUAAUUACAUUUAAAUGCAAUUAAACGAAAAUAACAAAUAGUUACGAAACGACGAGUGAAUACGUGCACUGAAAAUACAUGAAAAAGAAAUUGUGUAAGAUAACUACAUAGAGCAAAGUAAUUGGGGGAAUAAAAUAUGGCGAUAGCCGGAAAAGUCUAAUAAAAUAGUGUGCAUACAAAGUAAAUAACGUAUAUUUAUUAGUUAUCUGUCAAAAUUAAUAAAAAGUUGUGUGUUUUUAUGUAAAAAAAUCGAUUCCAAAUACAAAUAAACUUCUGAUUUAUUUUUGGCAAUAUAUAAAAAUACAAAAAGUUCAUCCUGGUGGCGCGUGUUAAUAAUCAAACUCUUAUUCGUUCAAAGCUUUUUAACACAUGUGUAUGUAUAUUUGUGAGAUACUCCUGCGCACAAGACACAUCGCUACUAUGAAGACGGUUGGACGUUCGUAACAGCUCAGACAAUGGACAGUAUUGCCGGUGACUUAUUGGAAUACAUAUGUAUAUGGAAAUAAAUUUUUCAUAAAAUUGGAAUAGUUUGCUAUACAUAUAUCUCCACCACUGCUAGUUCUAAUUUAAAUUAUUUCUAAAUGUUAAUCUAUCGAAUUGAGUGUAAAUCCAAAUAGUUUCCUGUGUAAUGAUUUUUGGCGAACUAAAGUUUAAUAACUGGCUAUUUUAAGGUGAAAUGUUAUUUGCUAUUAGCAUGUAAUUUGCUAUUCGGGUUUGCAGUUCCGGGAGUGUAUAGAUUUCUAAUUAAAAAAACUGAUUUGCAUGUCUUAAAGUAAAUAAGAAAGAAAAAAAUAGUGUAAUUGCAGUGAAGAAUAUAUUACUAGAGUUGUUUAUACCUACGAGAUUCUUGAUUUAUUCUCGUAAUCUUACUCAGUUGAGUCUCGUCAUCACUGCUGUUUCCUUUCUCUAAUUUUUUUUUUUAAUUUUUUUUUUUUACUAUUUUUUUAUAAACAAAACUGCAACCGGUUUUAUAUGAUUUUUUAUUCACAUACAUACAUACAUACUUAUGCACCUUCCUAUAUGACUAAUUUUUCGAUGUUUGAAUAGCUCAGUGUACGAACGAAAAAAAACACAUUUGUAUGUACAUACAUGUAUACAUAAAACAACAAAAGUGAAAUAGUAAUAAAAGUGCUUGGAAAAUAUUGUAUAAGGUUUCCGCUAAAGUAGAAAAAUAAGCAAUUAUUAAAUAACCGUUUACUAACUCAAAUGGUGUAACACGAGAAAAAAUUCGAAAUUUGUUUGAGACUAAUCGAUCAACCUGAGGACGGGAAAAAUUAAAUCAUUUUGUAAACAAUACAUCAACGCUUUGAGAGCAGCAGAGAUUAAGCAAGUGCGCCAAGUGGCAGGCUGUCUGCUUGCCACAUGCAACACAGCAGCGGGUUAGCAAAGAUAUACACAUAACAAAUACAUACAUUGAACUAAUGAUUUUUCAAGAAAUCGGCUGAAAAUCAUGAGUCGUCCAUCACAUCAACGCACAAUGCCGCAACCGAAGCCGCCGAAGCAGUACCUUACCGAGCAGGAGGCAAUCGCUGCCUCCGAGCUCUUCGAUCUCUUCUGUGUCGCGACGACAAUGCGUCAAAUUUUGGGCUUGCAUCGCGACAUGUGCGAUAUAUUGGGUUUGCGUCCUUCACCGAUAAACGAAUUCUAUCCCAUGUUGAAGGCGAAGAUACGUUCGUGGAAAGCGCAGGCGCUGUGGAAGAAAUUCGAUGCGCGUGCAGCUCAUCGUGUUUAUGCGAAAGGAACAGCGUGCAAUGGCACGCAUGUGCUAGUCAUUGGCUCAGGUCCAUGUGGUCUGCGCACCGCCAUUGAGGCGCAAUUACUGGGUGCCAAAGUUGUUGUGCUAGAGAAACGCGAUCGCAUCACGCGCAACAAUGUUCUGCACUUAUGGCCGUUCGUUAUUACCGAUUUACGGAAUUUGGGCGCAAAGAAAUUUUAUGGAAAAUUUUGCGCCGGCUCCAUAGAUCACAUUUCGAUUAGGCAAUUACAAAUUAUUUUGAUGAAAGUAGCAUUGCUAUUGGGUGUUGAGAUACACGAGAAUGUGUCCUUUGAGCGGACAAUUGAACCGAGUGGUGAUGGAUUCGGUUGGCGCGCGGCAGUGACGCCUGCGGAUCAUGUGGUUUCAUAUUAUGAAUUCGAUGUUUUAAUCGGAGCUGAUGGUAAACGCAACACACUAGAAGGUUUUAGACGUAAGGAGUUUCGUGGCAAAUUGGCCAUUGCCAUUACGGCGAAUUUUAUAAAUAAGAAAACAGAGGCAGAGGCCAAAGCGGAGGAGAUUAGUGGUGUGGCUUUUAUAUUUAAUCAGUCUUUCUUCAAGGAGCUCUACGAGAAGACCGGUAUCGAUUUGGAGAAUAUUGUUUAUUACAAAGACGAGACGCACUAUUUUGUAAUGACAGCGAAGAAACAUAGUCUCAUCGAUAAGGGUGUGAUUUUGCAGGAUUUCUCCGAUCCAGCGGAACUGCUAGCGCCAGCUAAUGUAAGCACCGACAAGUUGCUUGAUUACGCACGCGAAGCCGCCGAGUUCUCCACCAAGUACCAAAUGCCAAAUCUUGAAUUCGCUGUGAAUCAUUAUGGCAAACCGGAUGUCGCCAUGUUCGAUUUUACAUCCAUGUUCGCCGCGGAGACAUCAUGUCGUGUUAUGGUGCGUCACGGUCACCGCCUGUUGCAAUGUUUAGUGGGUGAUAGCUUGCUAGAGCCCUUCUGGCCCACAGGGUCUGGUUGCGCGCGCGGCUUCCUCUCCAGUAUGGACGCCGCAUAUGCGACCAAAUUGUGGUCGAAUACACGUAAUAGUAUACUCGGUGUGGUUGCACAGCGUGAAAGUAUAUACAGGCUCCUCAAUCAAACUACACCUGAAAAUCUGCAACGUGACACUGGCUCCUAUACCGUUGAUCCGGCAUCAAGGUAUCCAAAUCUAAAUCGUACUGCUGUCAAUCCAUUGCAAGUUAAAACACUUGUGGAUUCAGAUGAUCCCAAAGUAUUUGAGCAACCAAUAGGAGAAAUUAUCACUACACCAGCUCUGGCUGAGGCGCCAGCGCUGCUACGCAAAGCGCGACGUAGUACAGACAUCGUGCCAGAAGCACUGCUUCAUUGGGUCUGCACUCAAUUGCACAUGUACGAUUUCGCUAAGGAUAUACAGGAACCUGCCGAUAUACUUAAAAAUGGAAAAUCACUAUGCGCCUUAAUAAGCCGAUUUCGGCCGGACUUAAUCGACUAUACAGCCGUACGUGACUUAUCAGUUGCUGAACGUAACGAAAUUGCUUUUAGAAUAUUAGAAACUGAAUAUCAACUGCCACGAGUUAUGAGCGGCGAGAAAACCGUCGAACUGGGAAAAGCCGACACUCGUCUCUGGUUACACUAUCUGAAUCAAGUGCGCGAACUAUUCCGUGGGGAAGUGCCGUAUUUGAAACAUCCGAAGAUGGACAUUACUGAAUUGCGUGAAAAAUAUCGUCUUAAUAACGCGCACGCUCAACCAGAUUUCUCAAAACUAUUGCAAUUCUCUACUAAACCUAAAUAUCCGAAAGCAAAAAGUCCCAUCGAGGAUAUGGUGGAUAUACCACAAGUGGUGCAGCGACGCUCAGUGUUGGAUGAGGAGCGUGUGAAACGCGUGCGCAGGCAUGAGCCACUGGCUGCUGGUAGUGCAGCAGCAGGCAAUUCGCCACAGCAAGGUCAAACUGACACACCACGUCGUGCAAAGAAGAGAAGAAACGCCGAAAAAGCUGCUAAUAUUGAAGAACGUCAAAAGCGUUUACAAGAAAUCGAGCAAAAUCGUCAGGAGCGUCAAAGUAAACGACGUCAACAACGUUACCAACAAACGCAGAAUUUUUACAAAAGUUUGCAAAUGUUACAAGUCAACACCUUGCUGCGGGAAACCGAUGAUCCAACAGCAUUCGAUGACUACUCAUUGUUCAUAUAUCGCCAACAGGCACCGGAAUUCAAUGAUCGCGUAAAGGAUUUGGAACGCAAACUGCUGUUUCCUGAUCGCAAUCGCGGAGAUAUACCAUCCGCUAUGCCUCGCAAUAAUCCCGAUGAGCAGUUUAGUGAUCGCAUUAAAUCCAUGGAACAACGUAUUAGCUCGAAGAAUGCCUGUGGCACUGAUAAGAAACCUAAAGAUUUAAUGCGUGCCAUUGGCAAGAUCGACAGCAAUGAUUGGAAUGUGCGCGAAAUCGAGAAGAAAAUCGAACAAUCGAAACGAACGGAAAUACACGGCCCCAAGGGACGUGAAAAAGUGCCGAAAUGGAGUAAAGAACAGUUCUUGGCGAGACAAAAUAAAAUGGCAAAGCCAACUCGGCAAGAGUCGGUGGAAGAGAAAUUCAAAGAGAUCGAUCAAACAUUAAAGAAUUUAGAUAAACAAUUGAAGGAAGGUUCAAUACUUGAGGUCGGUGAACGUGGUCGCAACAAGGUUGCCUCAAUUGCUGGGCAAUUUGUGAAGAAAGAUGAUAAGACAAGCGAAGAAAAUCUCAAUCCUGCCACAGGCAAUGUUGCGUCCAAACCAAGCGCCAAAGUUGCGCUGGCAUUCAAAAAGCAAGCCGCAUCCGAGAAGUGCCACUUCUGUAAACAAACCGUUUACCUAAUGGAGAAGGUCACCGCUGAAGAGCUUGUAUUUCAUCGUUCGUGCCUGAAGUGUCAUCAUUGUCAGACCAAUUUGCGCCCUGGCGGCUAUACGUUCGAUCGUGACGAUCCCAAUGGUCGCUUUUACUGUACUCAACACUUUAGAUUACCAGCGAAGGCUGUGCGGCCGGUGGCCAGGAAACCAGGUCAAAGGAAGCCCACUCAGCAACAACAAGCUGCUGCUGCAGCAGCUGCUGCUUCAGAGCAGGCGCUUACAGCUGGAGACGGUGCAAGCGGUGUUGUACCUCUGGCAGAUUCACUAAAAACACCAGAUAAGUUACGUGGACCUGCUGACAAUGUAGUACAGCUUGAUUUGAUGGAUCGUGGUCAAACGCCGGAGCGUAUUGAAUUCGAAAACACUGAUGCUAUGUCGGAUGGUGAACCCUCAGAGGAACAUAUAUUGGAUGAGCAUGAGUGGUCUGGUAGAAAUUUCUUGCCUGAAUCCAAUCAGGACUCUGAGUCCGAUCUCUCCAGCUCCGAUGAUACGGACAGUGAGUCCGAUGCUUAUAUGUUCGGUGAGGCAAAUGAUUCGCCGUUGGGUGCGCAAACCUUGCAAUUGGCCACCGAUUGGAUCGGCAAGCAGCAUUAUAGUGAUAGUGAUGAUUCAGACGACUUUUAUGAUUCAAGUGAUGGCAUUGCGGAUGAUGACGGUAAGGAUGAUACUGAAGCUGAAGGCGAAGAUUUUAAAAAGGCUCGUGAGCGACGCCGAGAGGAAGUGCGUUUAUUGCCACUACCCGCUAAUUUGCCAACUGAUACCGAGACUGAGGUUCAAAGCGAAUCGGAAAGUUCAUCUCCCGAUAAGGCUGAGCUUAAUUCAGCAACAGAAAUAUCUACGGACUCGGAGUUCGAUCAUGAUGAAGUUAUACAUGAGACACCCAAAAUAUUCAUUGACGAUACUCACCUCAGGAAACCAACGAAAGUUCAAGUGAAAUCUACAGUCCUUACAACGACCGCCGGCCAGCGGCAACACGUCACAACCACAUCAAAUAACACGCACAACACGCGCGGCAGUUACCUACAAAAAUAUCAAGUUAACCCGCCACAGCCACAAUUCAAGCCUCUAGUUCAAGUUGACCCUACGCUUUUAACGAAGAACCGUGCGCCGUUACAAAAUCCUCGCACUGGCGAUUAUCUGCUCAAUAAAACAGCCAGCACCGAAGGUAUAGCCUCGAAGAAGAGUCUAGAGCUUAAGAAACGUUAUCUACUUGGCGAACAGGGCAAUGGCAAUAAAAUACAAAAAUCCGGUUCUACUUCUGUACUUGAUUCACGCAUACGUAGUUUUCAGUCGAAUAUAUCAGAAUGCCAAAAGUUGUUGAAUCCUGGCAGUGGUAUUUCGCCCAGCAUGAAAACAUUUCUGGAUCGUACAAAAUUGGGUGAAAAUGCAAACAACGAUUUAAUGCGUUCGGCGACAACAAAUAUAUUGAAUGAUUUGAAGGUUGAGAUUACAAUACAAAAGGCUUCGUCGACUGCGUCAACGGAUAAUGAGAAAGAAAAUGUUUUUGUAAACAGCAAAAAUGAGUUGAAUAAAGGUAUGGAGUAUGCAGAGACCGUUAACACAGCAUUGCUGGAGACUGUAAACAACAAAAAAUCACCUUCAACACCAACUAAUAACCAAACGAUUUUGAGUACAAUAGAUUUAGUUACACCGGAACAUGAGAAGCCAAUAUCAGUAAUAGAUUUAACCAAAGUAGACACAUCUGCAAAAAAGUUGGAAUCAAAUAUUGACUUCCUUAAUAGUAUUAAUGCAGAUGUGGUUGCACAGAAAUUAACAUCACCAGAAAGCAAUGACAACUUACUCACUGCCGAUAGUAAUAAAAUUAUAGAUCUUACCUGCGAAUCGCCAGUGAAGAGCGAUAAUACUAUUAUAGAAGAGUUGAAACCAGAUGUUUCGAAAGAUGUUAAGGAGAGUAUACCCGAUAUAUUAGGGCAUAUCGGUCAGGAAGCAAAAUCAACACGCAGAAUAAAUGUAUUACGACAAACAGAUGAUGAAGAGCAUCUGUUGAGUCACUGUUGUGAUGAGGAAAAAAUCGAUUCACCAGAAAAGUUGGGGGAACAAUGUGAUAACGACAUAUUACAAAUACAAGUGCCGAAUAUACCGUGGAGCACACGUAAAACCGAUACAAUGUCAUCAACAACAGGAUCCAGUUGUACAUCCAAUUCGUCGAGUAUUGAAGAUAUAAAACACUUUUUAUUAGAGUCAACAACUAGUCCAGACACCCAAACUGGUGGUAUGGCUAUCGGACACCAAGUGCCACGUGUGGAAAUACACGAUACGUCGGGUACACUCAUGCAAAUCGAUAGUCUGAUGAUAUUGGAUGGAAAAUAUAUUGGUGAUCCAGAAGACUUGAAGUAUAUGGAAAUACCAGAAGGUGUUGUCGUGCCACAGGUACCCGCUGUCAAGACCAUGGAGGUUGAGGAUGAUACCGAAGCAGAUAUGGAACCGGUUACUGCAACACCAGAGCCAGUUGAAUGUACAGUAAUUGAAGCAGAUCAAACGAAAGUUAAUGAAAACGAAGAUGGAAAUGACGCAGAGUUAGAUGAACAAAUACCGCCGCUGCCUGAAAUAGGUCCACCUCUACCAGAGCGUGGACCGCCAAGUAUGAAAACUGUCAACCGCAAGUUCGAUACUAAAAAUGAAAAUAAAGUAGAAAGCCUAAAAAAUCUUCCUUUAAUUGUCGAACAAUCAGUUGAACAAACAAAAGCGGUUAAACCAGUAACAUUAAAUUUAAGUGCUGCCCAAAAGUCACCAAACACACCAACAACACCUACUGCCACAAAAAAUGCAAACUUAAUAACGGACCGAGCUCUAAUAUCGCCGUUAGUGGACAGCGAUGUAACACCAACAGGUGAUCUUAUGUCGAGAGGUUCUGACUCAGAGACCGAACUAACAGGCACAGGUCAGGUGCUGACCGAAACCGAACUAUCAGAUUGGACGGCAGACGAUUGUAUUUCAGAGAAUUUUGUUGAUAUGGAAUUUGCACUCAACUCCAAUAAAGGUACAAUUAAACGCAAUAAAAAAGAGAAAAAGCGCAUGUCUGCUGCAUCCAAACUGCCAACCACAAUUGAAAUGCUGGGUAAAGUAAACAAAACGGCGCCAGUUGCUGAAUUCGAGGGCAUACUGAAGUCGAUCGAUAUAGAUGAUAUCGAAUUCAUGGACACCGGUUCGGAGGGUUCUUGUGCGGAGGCAUAUUCUGCUACAAACACAGCGUUGCUGCGCAAUCAUGGUUACAUGGAAUUUGUGGAAACAACACCGAGGCGAACACCUUCACACAAAACUAUGCCCUACAAGUCGUCAGACAAUAGUCAUACGUCGGUGGCUGCCAAACGGGAUGAGAAACUUGGUAUCGACUAUAUCGAACAGGGUGCUUAUAUAUUACAAAGCGCCAACCAAGAGCAUGAUCUCUUAAAAACGCCGGUUAACGAAGACCCACAUUUAAUUGGUUUAUUGAUGGAUAAAUCCCAACCUAUUGGUCCACCUUCGAUUAUGACCCAAUCAAUGACAGAUUCGAGCACAUUGUACGAUCUUGAGGAUGAUAGCUUAUUUACUGCAACGCCAAAUUCACAAAUUCAAUUGUCUAGCGGCACUGCUGCUGCUAAGACAACAACGGAAGAGAGUGAAGCGUUGACCGUUGUUACCAGCCCAAUUGAUACGUCAUCGCCCAAAGCGCCGGGUGUGCUCAAUAGUACUUACGUUGCAGAUAAGACAGCUGAACUAACAGGAGAGUCAACACCCAGCAGCUCUGAUAAGAACCCCAAAACCUCACAGUCCACAUGCACAACCGCGAGCACAUCGAGUGCCUCAUCGAACAAAGUCAAUCCUCCUCCGCCAUUGUCACAAGAACUUGAUGUAAAAUCGACUUCAACACCGAAAGCAGCGCCUCGUAAACCGUCAAAUGAGUUGUCCUAUGAGGAGUGCGUGCGCGCUCUUCAGCAAAAAAUUACACAAAUUAGCACAGCUCGCGAAUCCGAUGUACGAAAACAACGACGUAAGAGUUCCAAAGGUGAAAUGCCUGCUGGUAAUUUACAAACUGUGAUAGAACCAACACAAUUCAAGCUGCAACUCACCGAAACGGGAAGCAUAACAGCAAAGCCAACUGUCAGUCCUUCUGCAGCGACGGUGGCACAAAUUCACAAGGUACCUGAAAUUCCGACACUUACGCGCAAAUUGGAGGAGAUCACAAAGGAGCGCACCAAACAGAAGGACCUGAUACAUGACCUAGUCAUGGACAAACUUCAAUCAAAGAAACAAUUAAAUGCCGAAAAGCGUUUACAUCGUAGCCGCCAACGUACAAUGUUGACCAGCGGUUAUGCAAGUGGCUCUAGUCUAAGUCCUACACCAAAAAUCGCAGCGGCAGCAACAACUAGUGAUACCAAUUGCACCAGCCGCGCGCACUAUCAUGAAUCGACAGUAGCAACACCUGCAACGCCUUCUACAAAUGAUGCAGAGUUGCGUGCCAUACGCACAAGUUUCAAAGAAAGCAUACCGUUACAGAAAUCUUCGACAUAUGUAUCAGCCUACGGUAUGUCCAAUAAUUCGCCAACACGUGUUAUUGCCUACCAGCAGCGACCUUUCAGCGAGCAUUUGGACGGCGAACAGUUAGAUGCAUUCGAAAGGUACAAACUGACAAAAACUCCGUCAUUUUCAUAUGGUUUGCCUAUUCAAUCGACCCAAACGACAAAGGAUGAAAAUGCUUAUAAAUUUGUGACACCAAUAGCACCAGCACGUAAUAAUCGCAACCAGAAGCCACAAAUGCAAGCUAUAGAUAACACAUUUUCCACUUCAACGGAAAAUUUACGCACAGAAGCGCGGGCACGUGCACGACUUAAAUCCGACACAGAGCUCGGCCUGAGCCCAGAGGAGAAAAUGCAAUUGUUGCGGCAGCGCUUGCAGCUCGAACAUCUGGCAGCUAAAAAUAGUAGUAACCCCAUUGCUCCCCUAAAGACUCAAGUUCCACUCAAAUCACAAAUGGAAAUGGAACUACAAAAUAUACGUGAUCGUCGGUUGAGUGCGUCAAAAAGCGUUAACGAUCUAGUUUAUAUUGCGGGCAAACAGACGGACUUAUCUGCCGAUGUCAAUUCAAAUAAUAAACCCGUAUGCGCUACUGCCGAUUUCACAUCCGAUCCAAAUUUGUUACUUUCCUCAUCAUCAAUACAAUCCAGCAGUGGCAGCAUCAAUAACAAGGCAACCGUCAAGGGUGGUGGCAAGUCUAGUCGUAGACAAAAAGAUCCAGAGCGUCGUAAAAGUUUGAUACAAUCACUUUCCAGUUUCUUUCAUAAAGAUAAAAAGGAUGCCGGUGGUGGUUGCAGCGCAGCAACUAGCGCACUUGGCUCUGCACAGUCAGAGCGUCCGAGUACUAGUGGCAACAAUGGGACAACAGGUUCGGGUGGCAUUGAUAUGGGUGUAUUUAGCCGCUUCCGUAUAUCUCCCAAAACUAAGGAGAAGUCUAAGUCAUGCUUCGAUGUCAGGAAUAUCGGUUUUGGUAUGAGAGCAACGCAACCGAAACGCGUGACCAGAAGCGGCAGCGUGCCAUAUCGAAGGCUGUUCGACAAGCUGAGCUCAAGCGACUCAGAAUCGCUCAGGAGAUUCAGCGUGAGCAGGAGGAAAUCGAAGUGCAAUUGAGAGAGCUGGAGGCGCGUGGUGUUUUAAUUGAGAAAGCAUUGCGUGGUGAGGGCGAACAACAUACGAGCAAUCUUGACACUACAACAAAUAUUGGUAGCAACGAUGAAAAAUUACUAAAGGAGCUGCUGGAGAUUUGGCGGAAUAUAAAACAGCUAAA